CGUUGGUCCGAGUGCAGUGGUGUUUACGACUAAUGAAUCACAACCAGUUAUAGAUUCCUUUGUUCCUUCUCCACUCCCACCGCUUCACUUGACCAGCCUAAA
ensembl:misc_RNA Y_RNA Y RNA